AGGAAGCUUUUCUUUUUGAGGGGAAUGUUGUCUGGUUCAAGGUCAUGCGAUGCUAUACAUAUGAUUUGUUUAUCUUUUAGCUAGUUCUCCUCGGACCAGGCUUCAUUCCUCUCAAUUACUGCUUCCA
rnacentral:pre_miRNA from 1 species